ACUCAAAGGAAUUGACGGGGACCCGCACAAGCGGUGGAGCGUGUUCUUUAAUUCGAUGCUAAACGAAGAACCUUACCAGGGCUUGACAUCCCGAGAAUUACUGCGAAAGCAGUGAGUGCCUUAGGGAACUCGGUGACAGGUGCUGCAUGGCCGUCGUCAGCUCGUGUCGUGAGAUGUUUGGUUAAGUCCAUCAACGAGCGCAACCCCUAUGAAUAGUUGAAUUUUUCUAUUCAGACUGCCCCGGCAACGGGGAGGAGGGGGGGGAUGAUGUCAGGUCAGUAUUGCCCUUACGUCCUGGGCUAGAAACGCGCUACAAUGGCCGGUACAACGCGAUGCCAACCCGCAAGGGGGAGCAAAUCGCAUCAAAGCCGGUCCCAGUUCAGAUUGCAGGCUGAAACUCGCCUGCAUGAAGUCGGAAUCGCUAGUAAUCGCAGAUCAGCACGCUGCGGUGAAUACGUUCCCGGGUCUUGUACACACCGCCCGU
rnacentral:rRNA from 1 species